AGGAAAGAUAGUGGGCCUGAUGGGCUGGAAGUAUCUUAAAGCCCUAGACUUCUCCAUGGGCUUUUUUCGUUGGGCCUCAAUUUUUCUCUGAAGCGGAUGGAAUAGUGGAGUUCGGAUGGGGGGAAGAAAUCGAAACGAGAUGGCGGCGGCGGCGAUUCUCCUGCGGCGGAGCUCUAUUCCGGCGGGCGGCGCCCGCUCGCGGAGGAGCGGGGUCGCCCCCCCCUCCCCUCCACGCUCCUCCUCCUCCGGAAGCUUAAAUAUUUCCUAUCGUUGAAGAAAGCAAUGUUGGAUGAUAUGCUUAUUAUCCACUACAAUCAACUGGGUUGUGGUGUUUACAAAGAUUUUGGUGUAUGUUCUCAUGCUUCUCUGUACAGAAUUGAUGUGAAGUAAUACAUCUUUGUAACUCAAGACUAUACUAUGCACUUCUCCAUUCAGAUACAAUAAUGGAAAAUUCAAACAGGACCAAAAUUUGCUUUGUUCCAAAUGCACCCAGUGGUAGUGUGGUACAGUGGGUUUGGUGGACAAAUAAAGGAGCUUCGUACUGUUGCAUUGGCUACUUCUGGGGAGCUCCUCCUUUUGUAGCAUUUGAUUCCCUCCUUGCACACACACUUGCCACAUUUCAUGGCAGGGAGCAUAAAAGCACACUGCCCUUUGUUUUUAAGUGCCUGACAACUGUUGCCUCCCCUGGGUCCUUGCCACGUUCAAGUUGAAGAGGAUCGGAUUGAUUGGGAUAGGAGUUGCAGAUCCAACAAAAUCCUACUGAAAUAUAUACCACAAUGGGUUUACUUAACAACAAGGCAGUAAACUUAUUUCUUUUACUGAAACAUCAACACAUACUCCAAUGCACAGUGUCAUGAACUGUGAACACUGUAUUAGAUAGAUAAGAUGUUCACAAGCUGUAGCACUGUAUUGUUUGUGCAUGGUGAUUUGUUGAUCUCCCGAUGGAUUGCCUGGAUAUACCAAAAAGACAGGAAGAGGUGGAUUUGCAGCAUUUGGGGCUGAAGUAUAUUAUACUAAAGGAAAGAGGGAAGAGGGGGAGGGGAGUGAUUGAUGAGCAGUAAAUAAGGACUGCAGCAGCAACCCAGCAAGUCUCCUCAAUGGAAGACGGAUAGAGGAGAGAGAGCACAGCAGGACUACAGGAGGCGAUGAGGCAAGAAAAGGAGGAACAAGGACCUACAAGCUGUUUAUGAUGGACAGCACUGCUUGGAGAUCUAGCACAAUAAAAGCUAGACCCUCCUCCCCCUUGGCAUCAUCAUCAUCAUCAUCAUCAUCUCUCGCAUAAAUACAAGCUGCUCUUUUUUACUCGUGGCAUGCAGAGGCCAACAGGCCAACACAAGAUCUUUGCAUUGCUUCUGUAUUAAACCUCUUUCACCGGCGCAAGCAAGUGGAGGUGGACGAUGGGGCCUUUAUGCAGCGAAGUGAAUGUGCAGACAAUGGCUGGGUGGCUUGGACCUAAAUGAGGUAUAGUGCCCGGUGUAGUGUUGGCUGAAUACAAGAAACCUAUGAUCUAAUUAAUCCUGAAACAUCUACUGCACCCCACUUUGCUUACUUACUACACUACUCUGAAAAUUAUGGACAACAAUUAUACCUGAGAGAAUGAUGUUGUCUGGAGAAAUUUUCAGUGGAAUGCUUGCCUGGGUUCCAACAAAAACUAAUGGCAUUGCAUCGUACGUACGUCAGUGUGCAUACACUGUGCAACGGUGCUUGCUACAUGUGAUCGAUUUUUGAUCAGUGUCUGCAACAGUGCAAGUAAAUGUGCAUCAUGAAGAGACAUAAAAAGGAUGGAUGAUAGUUAGGUGAGGAGCCCAAAGCACAGUAAGAGGGGGAAGGAAGGAACACGGAAAGAAUUUAGUCUUAUGCCCUGAUUGCGGAGCUUAAGAUUAGAGUAAUUUUACCAUCCUUAAGAAGAUACCUUCUAUGUAAUAUUUGAUAUCUCUUGAUAUCUUAAAAAACCAAAUUUUACAUAGAAAACAGUUAUUUACUCAAGGAUGAAAAAAAUGCUAUUACGAUUAUGAUAAGUAAUUGAUCACUGAUGAGAAGUCAGUCGGUGAGUAUAUAAAAUGUUGAGUUUCCAUGUUUUUGGCUUUAGUUACUAUAACCAUAAUUA